rnacentral:rRNA from 1 species
AGAGUUUGAUCCUGGCUCAGGACGAACGCUGGCGGCGUGCUUAACACAUGCAAGUGGAGCGACGAACCGGGGCUUGCCCCGGGGCAGAGCCGCGAACGGGUGAGUAACACGUGGGUUACCUACCCCGAUGACCGGGACAACCCGAGGAAACUCGGGCUAAUACCGGAUGUGGUCUUCGGACGAAAGGAAGCUUCGGCCUCCGCAUCGGGAUGGGCCCGCGGCGCAUUAGCUUGUUGGUGGGGUAACGGCCUACCAAGGCGACGAUGCGUAGCUGGUCUGAGAGGACGAUCAGCCACACUGGGACUGAGACACGGCCCAGACUCCUACGGGAGGCAGCAGUGGGGAAUCUUGCGCAAUGCGCGAAAGCGUGACGCAGCAACGCCGCGUGGGGGAAGAAGGCCUUCGGGUUGUAAACCUCUUUCAGUUGGGACGAAGCCUCGUCGGUUAAUAGCUGGCUGAGGUGACGGUACCUUCAGAAGAAGCCCCGGCUAACUACGUGCCAGCAGCCGCGGUAAUACGUAGGGGGCAAGCGUUGUCCGGAAUCAUUGGGCGUAAAGAGCGUGUAGGCGGCCCGAUAAGUCCGCUGUGAAAGUCCAGGGCUCAACCCUGGAAUGCCGGUGGAUACUGUCGGGCUCGAAUCCGGAAGAGGUGAGUGGAAUUCCUGGUGUAGCGGUGAAAUGCGCAGAUAUCAGGAGGAACACCAAUGGCGAAGGCAGCUCACUGGGACGGUAUUGACGCUGAGACGCGAAAGCGUGGGGAGCAAACAGGAUUAGAUACCCUAGUAGUCC